AUACGUAGGGGGCAAGCGUUAUCCGGAAUUACUGGGUGUAAAGGGAGAGUAGGCGGCAUGAUAAGUUAGAUGUGAAAGCCUUGGGCUUAACCCGAGGAUUGCAUUAAACUAUCAAGCUAGAGUACAGGAGAGGUAAGUGGAAUUCCUAGUGUAGCGGUGAAAUGCGUAGAUAUUAGGAAGAACACCAGUGGCGAAGGCGACUUACUGGACUGAAACUAACGCUGAGGCUCGAAAGCGUGGGGAGC
rnacentral:rRNA from 1 species